ensembl:snRNA U1 U1 spliceosomal RNA
GUGUUUACCUGGCAGGGGAGAUACCGUGAUCAAGUAGGCGGUUUACCAGGGCGAGGCUCAGCCAUCGCACUCCGGCUGUGCUGACCCUACGAAUGGGGGAAUCUCCACUGCAUCAUUUCUGGUAGUGGGGGACUGCGUUCGCGCUCUCCCCUG